rnacentral:rRNA from 1 species
UAGGGAAUAUUGGACAAUGGGCGGAAGCCUGAUCCAGCCAUGCCGCGUGAGGGAAGAAGGUCCUCUGGAUUGUAAACCUCUUUUGGCGGGGGGACAAACCACCACUACACGUGGUGCUGAGGGUACCCGCAGAAUAAGCACCGGCUAACUCCGUGCC